rnacentral:rRNA from 1 species
AUGACCGCGUUGGCGCAGGGUGGUGGUUGGAUCCGGAGCGCCCGAGGUGCGGGUUGGGAUCAGGGGAAACCCCUGUCGGCGUGGCCGACACCGGUGGCGUGGCGCCUGUGGGUGCCACCUGACCUUCCGGGAGGGUGUCGGGGGCUACCCUUCCUUUCGCUUCGUCGUGUACCGGGGAAAACCCUUGGCAGCAGCGUCGUCAUCGUCGCGAUCCUUCUUGGAGGUGUUGAUAGGUGCCGGCGCUUCGGAGUCUUGGAGCCUAGUGGAAGGUCCCGAUGGGCGCAGCGAUCGCGAGGCUUCUUCGUUUUUGUUGAUCUGCCGUUAUCCAACAGCUCCUCGCCGCUGCACAUAUGCAUGAAUGCAUCAAUUCCUCCUCCAGGAGCUCCUCCGGCAGUAAAAAUCAAAUCUUGGGCAGCGACGACACUGGAGGGAGAGGCAGCGAGAUGUGACGGGAGGGGAUCGAGAGAUGUAGACAAGAGAGAGAUGCGGGUGAGAGGGAAACGUCGGUGCGGGCGGCACGGCGGAGGCGACCGUUGGUGGGGGCGAUGCGGCAGAGGCGAGCGGCGGUGCUGGCAUGAGAGUGGGAGGGGAACAAGUGAUGCGGGCGAGAGGGUGAGAGGACCGGGGCAACACCCUGGACAUGCCAUCGAACUCCAGAUCUGGCACCCCACCACGAAUGAAACACCGAAGGAGGAAACCAUACCUGCCAUCCACGAACCACAAGCCCAGCACAUGCUCCGUCUUUCAGAUGUCGUCGAUGCAUACCACAAUCUGCAUCCGCUCCUAGACUACCUCCCAAGCUCCGCGCCGACGCGGGAGCAAACGCCGUCGCAACGGCGGAGCCUGAGGACACACGUCCAUCACGAGGAUGCCGCCGCCGCCACGCCAUCCUUACUUGAACAGACUGAAAAAACGAUCCACACGUAUGGAUCCGGCGACUCUCCUCACCACCGACAACCAAGGGCGCCGGCGAAGAAAAGCCGCCGGAGAACGGCGUUGGAAAAUCAGCCUCCCCUGGCCGCGGCUAGGGUUCCAGCCGUCAGGGACAGGAAAAACAGCGAUGUACUACUAGUACUCCUCGUGCUAGUAGUCCGUUUAGAAUCUCUACUCCUAAUGGAGCAGUUGAUUAACCAGCGAAAACCAGCGAACAAAAAAUCGGACGACGCCCUAGCUCCCUCCGCCCGCGGGUCGCCCGCUCCCUCGCGCCCCUGUUGCUCCCUCCUCGAUCCCGAUCUGGAUCGAGGGGACGAGGAGCUCCUGCCUCCCCGACGGCCGACCUCCUCCUCGCCCCGCCGCUGCGUCCGGCGCCGCCACGGUCUCUGGAGCCAGGGAAGCCAUGGCCUGAGCUCGGCCUCGAGGUCCCCGCCGCCGUCUCCUGCAGCUUCUGCCCCGCCGCCUCACCGCCCGAGCUCGCCGUCGCACCAACCUCGGCGCCGCGCCGCCGCCGGCUCUGGUCGCCUCCACCUCCGCGCCGUGAGGAACCCGCCACACGCGUCAAGGCGAGGCGCCUCCUGGGCUCCGUCCGUUUCCAGAGCGAGCGCCCGCGAAUACCUAGCUAGCCGCCGCCGUCGUGACCGUUCCAGCCACCGCCAAGCCCCAGCUCUUCACGGGCAGGGAGAGAAGGGGGGCAUGAUCGGCGGGGCAGAGUUCUUUCGGAAGGACAGCGUGGUGGGCAACAUGGACGGAUACCUCAGCUACCUGUCCCUCGAGUAUGACUUCGUCUCGGACACCAAUCCUGCUUGGGUAUCUUCAUUUUGGAAGCAGGAGUCCUUUCCUCAUAAGAUGGAUGAGCUGUAG